rnacentral:rRNA from 1 species
ACGACAACAUUGACCCUUCGGGUGAUUUGUUGGGCGUCGAGCGGCGGACGGGUGAGUAAUGCCUGGGAAAUUGCCCUGAUGUGGGGGAUAACCAUUGGAAACGAUGGCUAAUACCGCAUAACGUCUACGGACCAAAGAGGGGGACCUUCGGGCCUCUCGCUUCAGGAUAUGCCCAGGUGGGAUUAGCUAGUUGGUGAGGUAAUGGCUCACCAAGGCGACGAUCCCUAGCUGGUCUGAGAGGAUGAUCAGCCACACUGGAACUGAGACACGGUCCAGACUCCUACGGGAGGCAGCAGUGGGGAAUAUUGCACAAUGGGCGCAAGCCUGAUGCAGCCAUGCCGCGUGUAUGAAGAAGGCCUUCGGGUUGUAAAGUACUUUCAGUCGUGAGGAAGGCGUUGAAGUUAAUAGCUUCAUCGUUUGACGUUAGCGACAGAAGAACCGGCUAACUCCGUGCCAGCAGCCGCGGUAAUACGGAGGGUGCGAGCGUUAAUCGGAAUUACUGGGCGUAAAGCGCAUGCAGGUGGUUUGUUAAGUCAGAUGUGAAAGCCCGGGGCUCAACCUCGGAACCGCAUUUGAAACUGGCAGGCUAGAGUACUGUAGAGGGGGGUAGAAUUUCAGGUGUAGCGGUGAAAUGCGUAGAGAUCUGAAGGAAUACCAGUGGC